rnacentral:rRNA from 1 species
CCGUGACAAACUUAGCCACCCUCUCUCUCUUCCCUCUCUGCCCCCGCUCGUGUAGCUUCUGCUACCGGACGCUACAGCGGCGGCUGCUCGGUGGGCGGUAGGGGUGGCGCGAGCUGUUCCGGGGGCGGCAGACGGGGCAGGUCCUCGGGGCGCGCUGGCUGUUGAGGGGGCGGCAGACGUGGCAGGCCCUCGAGGCGCGUCCGCUGCGCGGCAGGCGGUACCCGUCCCCGGGGCUAGAGACGAGGCCGCUGUGACUCGUACGCCGUGUGCUAUCUCUCGAAAAUUCGUUUCUAUGUUUAGGACUGGAAAACCUCUGUUUGUUGUCAUCGGUUCUUGUACUAAGUCCCCUACUGUGGUACUUACUGUUUGUACUUGUUUCAUAUCACCUAGACUGUCUUUGUCUGCGUAGACUGCCGUACGACAAACUGCCGAACUCUUCUUAAAAUCUCCUUUCUGUUCUCUCCUUCGUCCUUUCCUCACGAAACUUUCUCUUUUCCUUGUUCUCCUCUUCCGGUCUCCUUCCUUUUGGGUUUGCUGUGUAAUUGUUUCUUUCUCGUUGACGUAUGUCGUCUAAAUCGUAACCUAUAAAGCGUUUCUAACAACUACAACACACGUUUUCGUUAGUAUCCUACCUACAACAAUCCUUGCCACCAAAACCUAUGAACGAACUCGAUCUACUAACAAUACAAGGUGCCGGUAAGCGUGUCACCCAGCGCCUGUUGUAUAGGUGUUUUCUACUUCGUUAACAUGAACCACCCUUUAGUUAAGGAGAGUUGGGACUUCGGCAUAGUAAUCAAGAACCAUAUGGUCGUCCGCCUUGUUUCUAGUGUCACGAUCUGCUCCUCAAACCCUUUCGCCUCAAAGAUAGUGACAAACCCGAUUGUCUAGAAGGUAGGUAUUCAAAGAAGCCCUUGUUCUAAUAUUUACUUCUCGACGGACUGCUGCAAAUAGAAGCGACGAAGAACUGACAGCGUGAUCGUUGGAAGGACACAGGGUGUAGGUUGUGUUUCGGUUCGUGGUUUAUAAACCCUCGUGAACACCUACACAGUUUCAGUUUUCUAGAACUAACCACGAGAAAACAGGUAUGUACCUUAUAGCGGAUACAGUUCUUCAUGGUUUGUCUGUUCGACUUCGUCUUUGCCUAUUGUUGGUGAAACCCUCCGACGUAAAUAGUCGAUCGUCAAACCACAGAUCUGAAGUUGUUAAAACCUAGUUAUUGUUAAGGUGGUCGUGAUGGGUCCCAAACAAAAACCUUUCCUGUUUGGUAAUUUGUAAAAUCACUAUACGAUUAACCCUUUCUACCUAAUAUACCUCGAGAAGUUUAUUUUCUACUCCGUCUUUGAACGAUACGUCUUUGACUGCCACGUACCCGUUCGUGGCGGUUCUUGAGUUUGUAGGUUUUUCGAGAUGUUUCCCAGAAUCCGUUGAGAAAAAGUCUAUUCUAGUUUCUUCUAUAUAAGGAGUUAAAGGUCCUCGCACAUUUUCUAGUUUUGGACUGGUGAACAGACUAUCGUUUUGUUCACAACGACCUAUGAAACUUGUAACAGAGAAGAAGAAAAUUACCGAGAGUUGUAUGUCUCUUCAAUCUCAGUAGGCUCGUGAACAUGUACGGUAGGCUGUUUCUAUUACCCAAACCGUCAUGAUAAUCUCAACUAAGAUUACCCUAACUUUAACCGUCACUAGCUUCUCCGUCCUUCUUCUCUUACUUCUGCUCAUGUGUCGUCAGUUAUUGAAGUUGUUCAUUCCUACAUAACAACGUUCUAUUUUAUUUCGUUUCGUGUGGACUUCAACUGUGUGUUCCUCAGUUUCGACUUAACGUUGGUCAUGGUACCUUACCAGGAUAUUUACUCGUGUUUGUAGUUCUACUUGACCUUCAUUUAAGACUUUAACCAUUUCCUACAUGUGUAUAUCAACCUGUUGGCCACGCACGACUUACGUAACGUGACGUUGUUCUUCGGGUGCUCCCUCUUUCGUACUUGUUCCAACCGGGACGAUUUGUGUUGGUUCUGUGUUUAUACAACCUACCUGUAUCGUUGUAGGAGCUCGCGUCACAGUUACGAACAGGAUAACUUUAUCUUCGUGGUGUCUUUUCGUGAUCGGACUUGAUGUACGAUAAUAGUCGAUCUAACCGUUUUCGUCACUACUCGUGCUGUGUUCAAUUGUUAAGUUUCCUUCAUAGGUGAUCUCUACAUGUCUGUUGUAAGUGUCCCAAUCUUGUAUUAUGACAAUUGUUGUUAUUUUGUGUCGUAACAUAUCUGUGAUCAUGGUACCUCGUUGCUUUACUCUUCGUUCGUCACCAAAGACUUACACACCUUGUAGUUUUAUUGUAACUGUUUCUAGUUUUGUGACGCUUAUUACAGUCGCUAAUGUUCUUCGCGCAACUUGAACUAUAUCUAUAGUUGUAUCGUGAUAGUUUGUCAUGACGGAUGUAAAAAAGUAAAAAGAUAAUAACUAGUCUGUUAUAAAAAACAGAAAAAACGUACGAAACGACCGUCACUAAAAGAGUAACAAAACACGGAAAAAAGGAAAAAGAAGAACAAAAUGUACUGUUGCCCUAUCUGCUAUUCGUUGUUGUACAGUUUCUCAAUGUCCUGUGAAACGUAGGUAAUCUAUAACGUUCCGUUUUCAUGAAGAAGUGUCUACUACGCUGUGGAUCGACGUCUUAAGAAGGUCUGGUACUACUAACACCCUUAGUUUAUUAUCUCGGUCUUAACACCGCGGGUAAUCUCUACUUGAGCCUUCUUAUAUUAAGAGUUUAUCUCCUUCGUUUCUUUUUUAUAGGUACGUUACGUUCGUUCCUACUCGUUCUUCACGUUCCUCUAAGGAGGUAUGUCACACGCGUCUCUGUUGGGCACAGGUAUCCGUAAACGUUCAUAUCUCUGAAAGAAGGUGUCAAACUUCUUUUCCUACCGUAGUAGCUGAACUGUAGCCGACAACGUGCGUACAGUGUGUGAACCCUGUCUCGUUGUUGUACGAUGAGGGGUUACCCGUUUACCUUGUUACUCUUGCGACUUUCAGGAUGUGUUUUCGUGUUCUUCUCUAUAAGUUGUUGUCGUUAAAAUCCCUUCUCCGAAAAAAGUCUACUCAAACUACUUUUACUACUUGUUCUUCCGUGAUUUGUGGUUGGUUACGGACACAGAGGCCUACAAGUUCAAAACCCCCUCUCUAGUAAGUUACCAAGUACGAGAUCAUACCAUUUGUGCCGCCUGUUAAAUAUGUUGUGCUUCGAUAGUAAUCCGUGAAGUAGUUCACCAUUUCUCUUAAACGGAGGUUUUUCCUAUUGUGUGGGUUCGUUCACCGAGAGGAGUGGUAUACUAGUGUUGCUCUCUCCUGGAGAAGUCGGUGUACUCUAUCUCGAUGUGUCCCCGUAUCACCGUGAUUCGUUUCAACUUGGAGUGUCUUCCGUUUCACCAACACAACUAACUGUUUUGUUCGGAAAAGGAACCUGUUGAACCGCUAAGUAAACCACACUCACCAGUGCACCUUCGUAUACAAAAGUUACAAAAGACAGCCUACGAGAAAGCUCUCUUAGUAGGUUCCUCUAGUUUUUGCGUGAUGAAGAAGUGAUGUGAUCCACUAAUAAAAGAACUUUUAACCUUUAGACUUCUUCCUUCCUCCCUUUACUUCUCUUUUUGUGAAUCUUCGAAGUUACCUCGACCCUUUCGUAACGGAGAUGUGCUUUCACUAGCAUAGAAGAAAGGCAGUCAUGUACUACUCGUGACCAAGAACAAGCAACAACUGUAAUAUCGUUCUUUCAAACAGAAGGAUCUAAGUAUAAUACUUCCCUUGUGUGGUAAGGUGUAGCCCUAGUCUCUAAACUACUAUUUGUUAAAGUAUUUUUUGUACCCUUCUAAGAUUAGACUCUCCUUACUCAAAGUCUUUCAAACCACAUCUCAUGGGUUUGUACGGUUUCGUUUAGCCUUCGCUGCGAACACCCUAAAAACGAGAAUUGACCUACGUUUGAACCCGAAGCGCUUUAGGAUACGUCGCUGUCAAGUGUUACUUGCUGCAUCGUUUGCGUUCCCAGUCUAAACGACAACUGUAAGAUAAAUCAUAAGUGUUGUGUCUCCUAGUUCCGUUUUAUGAGCAGGUCUUGAAGCGUACCAUUUAACUUCCAGUUCCUCCGGUUGGUUGACGUUGUAAGAGACAUUACCUACCUCCUUAUGAUGUUAUUUCAUGAAAUCGUUCUACUAGUUUUUGUUAGUGUUUUCAAUUUGUUGUAGUGUUUCACAGGCCACAUGUACCUCCUUGCUAUACAAAAAAAGAAAAAGUAAACUUUCGUUUAGGUUCAACAUAUCGUCACAGCAUCUUUGACCAGUAAUGGGUCUUUUGUUAAACCUUACAGGGUAAA